rnacentral:ncRNA from 1 species
GUGACACACGGACGCAACGAUCCUCGGGCACCACACAGCUACACGGUCGCCCGUCGGGUCGACAGGGGCAUCUACAAGGGGCUUCCUGACGGCUCGAUGGCUCGAGGGGAGCGAGUGGCGAGACCGGCCGUGAGACGA